AGCUGGAGGAGCCCGAGUGGCUGCUUCCGGAGGAGCUGGAGCCGCUGGACGAGCCCGAGCUGGAACCGGAGCUGCUGCUGGAAGAGGAGCUCGAUCGGGACCUGAUUGUAAAUGUGACCUGUCAGCGGGGGCGUGGCCUGAUGAGUCACGUGGGGAUCAGCCAAUGAGAGUCUACGCUCUACACGGCUGCCUUGAGCUCAGAUUCUUAAAGCAACCGCCGCAUAAGGACGACCACAUAGCUGCGCUUCCUGCAGAGCUGUAAGGCACCGCCGAGUCCAAACCUGCUGCUGCUGCUGCCGGUGGACGCGCUGCGGCGUUUCCUGGCUUUGUCCCGC